ACGGGCUGCAGGAUCCUAGCACCCCAGGCCAACCUGCCUCGCCAGAAGCCCGCCCUCCGCGAGUUGCUGGUUCAAAGUAGCUGCUUCCCUUCCUUGUGUCCUCGUCCACCUUCUCUAGCCAUGUGCUCGUCGGAGUUCCGCUUUGGUCCCCAAAACUAGGUGACAGAACGGAGGAAAAGUCUGAAGUGUUCCAUAUUUGCAGGAGUCAGAGACCAGGUCCCCGGGGACUCUGAUUUCCAGCAUUGCUAGAGUGUGGGGCGUAACCGUGGGAACAGAGUGUUGCCUGAGGAGAACUCUAGAUUCAUCAGUGGUGUUAGAUGGGUGAGGAGGGACAGGUUUUCCUUUUGUUACUUGUUUGUUUUUUCCUGUCACGAACUGGAUGAAGAAUCAGCCUACUGAGGGUCUCCACGGAGGUUAAGCAGCAGCCAGUAUUGAGCUAGUAUCCGCUAUCCUUUGGAUCUCCGAUGUCCUUAGAGGCCCAUUGGUAUUUGUCACAGUGAUGGAAAGCUAACACAGAUCCCUCCCCCACUCUUUAAAGAGAAGCACACAAAAUGUUACCUUUGAUUUUGAACUUGGAGAAAAUGUCAGAUAAAUAGGUACAUUGAAAAGAGUCAAGCAGAAGAGUAGCCACUAUUUUACUUGAAUGUGAAGAAUCAUUCAGCUAAUGAACUGCUGUUUACCAAAAGCAAUUUUUCUAAGUAUAAUUUGGGACCUUCACCAGCAACAUGUUUUGUGGAGAUAAGAGUUCUGGAAUAAAGUGAAUAUUUGUUGCGCCCAACUGCUCCAGCCAUGCUGCCAUGCCCCAACCUCUUACUUCACUCCUACUCUUAAAAUAGUGUCAAUAUUUUGCAAGGAAAAUCAAAAGAUAAGAAAAUGGAAACAAAUAAGCUGGAAUGAUGUAUGUAAACUUAAGAAUGAAGUCCAUUGGAGGCAUGGGUAGUAUAAAACAUAGACUGGAGAUUGAACCCAGAGCCUUUGCACUGAGCUACAUCCACAGCCAUUUUUUUAUUUGUUUGUUUACAAGGUUUCACUAAGUUGCCCAGGUUGGGCUCGAACUUUCCAUCCUCUUGUCUCAGCUUUCCAGAGUGCUGGGAUUACAAGUGUGUGUCACCAUACCAAGGUGGGUUAUGCUCUGUGAGAUGAAUUCUGUACACAGUAAAUAAAGAUGAAACUGAUUCUAAAGACAGCUUCACAUUAUGUAAGAUUUGUAUCUUGUAUUGAAGAGUUAAAGUAUCUAGAUUCCUCAGUGGAUGCUUGUUUGUGCCCCUAUUCCACCUCCCCUCAACCCACCUCUGAUUUCAUUCAUGUCCGGUAGCCUUGUGCCCCGACAGCAUGUCACCUUCAGUGUCCACCUUGAGGGUUCUUCAGAAGAAACCCUCAGCCACAGUGAGAGUGAGAUUGUGUGGAUCAAUGUCUCAGCUUUCCAAUCUUUGGUGGAAUGUUUCUCAAGUAUAUUCAACACAGUUCCUCAAAGGGUCCUAUAUUGGUUGCCUGUUGCUGGGCAACAAAUUUCUUCAAAUAAUGGUUUAAAAUAUUAGGCAUUUUUUAGUUCACAGUCUCUUUGAGUCAGGAAGCAGAAGUAGCCUUGCUAGGUGGCCCUGCCUUGGAAUGUCUCACAAGGUGUUCAUCCACGUGUCACCCAAGGCUGCAGUCAUCUGAGGUAUGACUGGAUCUGGAGGACCGCUUCCAAACUCACAUGACUGGAUAGGAGGCUUCAACUGAGGAGGUGUCACCUUGCCACAUGGACCCUUUCAUAAGGCUCCUUAUCAUUGGGCUUCCCCCAGAUGAAGCAUCUGAAGAGAAAAGGGCUAUCUUGGAGCCUGGCUGCCACAGGUCACCAGCAGGAGCAAGUCCUGGAUGUCCAUUAACUCAUCAUGUAUUUUGUUAUUGUCUUUUUCUUCUUCCCUGUAUGACUCAUUUCUACUUUCUAACCCCAAUCCCACUUCCAGUGACUUGCCUAAACCUUAGCUUGACUUGGGUUUGCAUUUCAGAGAAACCCAAAGUGAGAGAAACCGUGGCCCAUUGUGCGAAAUGUCUAUCAGGAUCCUCCUGGAAUUUUGUUAAUUCAAAAAUAAAUGCCAGUUAUUGCAUGUAUUCAGCUUUU